rnacentral:rRNA from 1 species
GACGAACGCUGGCGGCGUGCUUAACACAUGCAAGUCGAACGGUGAAGCGCCUUCCUUUUUGGUGGGUGUGGAUGAGUGGCGAACGGGUGAGUAACACGUGAGUAACCUGCCCCCUUCUUCUGGAUAACCGCAUGAAAGUGUGGCUAAUACGGGAUAUUCUGGGUCUGUCGCAUGAUGGGUCUGGGAAAGAUAUUGUUUCGGUGGGGGAUGGGCUCGCGGCCUAUCAGCUUGUUGGUGGGGUGAUGGCCUACCAAGGCGGUGACGGGUAGCCGGCCUGAGAGGGUGGACGGUCACACUGGGACUGAGACACGGCCCAGACUCAUACGGGAGGCAGCAGUGGGGAAUAUUGAACAAUGGGCGCAAGCCUGAUGCAGCGACGCCGCGUGAGGGAUGGAGGCCUUCGGGUUGUGAACCUCUUUCGCCAGUGAAGCAGGCCUGCCUCGUUUGUGGGUGGGUUGACGGUAGCUGGAUAAGAAGCGCCGGCUAACUACGUG